UUCCCGGAUUCCAGGAUUCCAGGAUUCCAGGAUUCCGUGCCUCUGUGAGUCUGUGAUUCCAGGAUUCCAGGAUUCCCAGAUUCCAGGAUUCCGUGCCUCUGUGAGUCUGUGAUUCCCGGAUUCCAGGAUUCCCAGAUUCCAGGAUUCCGUGCCUCUGUGAGUCUGUGAUUCCAGGAUUCCAGGAUUCCAGGAUUCCCGGAUUCCGUGCCUCUGUGAGUCUGUGAUUCCGGAAUUCUGGGAUUCCAGGAUUCCAUGCCUCUGUGAGUCUGUGAUUCCAGGAUUCCCGGAUUCCCGGAUUCCAGGAUUCCAGGAUUCCGUGCCUCUGUGAGUCUGUGAUUCCAGGAUUCCCAGAUUCCCGGAUUCCAGGAUUCCGUGCCUCUGUGAGUCUGUGAUUCCAGGAUUCUGGGAUUCCAGGAUUCCAGGAUUCCAGGAUUCCGUGCCUCUGUGAGUCUGUGAUUCCCGGAUUCCCGGAUUCCAGGAUUCCCGGAUUCCAGGAUUCUGUGCCUCUGGGCCACAGCCCGACCGGGGCUGUGAAUUUAAACCGGAUUCAAUCGUGUUAAACCCACGCCUGGACCUUCCCCUUCCGAAGGCAGCCGGGCCCUAACCGGGUUUGGCUUCGAGAAUUAAACUGAACUGAAUUAAA